GUGAUGCGUAGCCGUAGCGGCGAAAUCCAUGAUCCUAUGCUGCCGAGAAAAGCCUCUAGCGAGCUGGUACAUGGCCCGUACCCCAAACCGACACAGGUGGUCAGGUAGAGAAUACUAAGGCGAUCGAGAGAACUGUGGUUAAGGAACUCGGCAAAAUGCCCCCGUAACUUCGGGAGAAGGGGGACCAGUCCUGGUGACGACAUUUACUGUCUGAGCUGGGGUUGGUCGCAGAGACCAGAGAGAAGCGACUGUUUACUAAAAACACAGGUCCGUGCGAAGUCGUAAGACGAUGUAUACGGACUGACGCCUGCCCGGUGCUGGAAGGUUAAGAGGACCGGUCAGCCACUUCGGUGGCGAAGCUGAGAAUUUAAGCCCCAGUAAACGGCGGUGGUAACUAUAACCAUCCUAAGGUAGCGAAAUUCCUUGUCGGGUAAGUUCCGACCUGCACGAAUGGCGUAACGACUUCUCUGCUGUCUCAACCACAGACUCGGCGAAAUUGCAGUACGAGUAAAGAUGCUCGUUACGCGCGGCAGGACGAAAAGACCCCGGGACCUUCACUAUAGCUUGGUAUUGGUGUUCGGUUCGGUUUGUGUAGGAUAGGUGGGAGACUGUGAAACUCGCACGCCAGUGUGGGUGGAGUCAUUGUUGAAAUACCACUCUGACCGUAUUGGACAUCUAACCUCGGACCAUGAUCUGGUUCAGGGACAGUGCCUGGUGGGUAGUUUAACUGGGGCGGUUGCCUCCUAAAAAGUAACGGAGGCGCCCAAAGGUUCCCUCAGCCUGGUUGGCAAUCAGGUGUUGAGUGUAAGUGCACAAGGGAGCUUGACUGUGAGACGUACAUGUCGAGCAGGGACGAAAGUCGGGACUAGUGAUCCGGCACCGGCAAGUGGAAGCGGUGUCGCUCAACGGAUAAAAGGUACCCCGGGGAUAACAGGCUGAUCUUCCCCAAGAGUCCAUAUCGACGGGAUGGUUUGGCACCUCGAUGUCGGCUCGUCGCAUCCUGGGGCUGGAGUAGGUCCCAAGGGUUGGGCUGUUCGCCCAUUAAAGCGGCACGCGAGCUGGGUUUAGAACGUCGUGAGACAGUUCGGUCUCUAUCCGCCGCGCGCGUAAGAAACUUGAGGAAACCUGUCCCUAGUACGAGAGGACCGGGACGGACGAACCUCUGGUGUGCCAGUUGUUCCACCAGGAGCACCGCUGGUUAGCUACGUUCGGAAGGGAUAACCGCUGAAAGCAUCUAAGCGGGAAGCCUGUUCCAAGAUGAGGUUUCUCACCACCUAGCGUGGUUAAGGCCCCCCACAGACCAUGGGGUUGAUAGGCCAGAACUGUAAGCACAGCAAUGUGUUCAGGUGACUGGUACUAAUCGGCCGAGGACUUAC
rnacentral:rRNA from 1 species